rnacentral:rRNA from 1 species
UACGUAGGGCGCAAGCGUUUAUCCGGAAUUAUUGGGCGUAAAGAGCUCGUAGGCGGUUUGUCGCGUCUGCCGUGAAAGUCCGGGGCUCAACUCCGGAUCUGCGGUGGGUACGGGCAGACUAGAGUGAUGUAGGGGGAGACUGGAAUUCCUGGUGUAGCGGUGAAAUGCGCAGAUAUCAGGAGGAACACCGAUGGCGAAGGCAGGUCUCUGGGCAUUAACUGACGCUGAGGAGCGAAAAGCAUGGGGGAGCGAACAGG